AGGCCCGUCUCAAAGUGUGACAAAUGAAAGAAACCCUGAUGCAGUUCUCGACAUCGAUAUGUCAGAUGUUUGAACGCCGUCCAAAAGGUCUAACCAGGUGUCCUCAGCAUCGG